rnacentral:rRNA from 1 species
GAUGAACGCUGGCGACGUGGAUAAGGCAUGCAAGUCGAGUGGGUUUAGACCCACGGCGAACGAGGUAGUAAUACGUAGGAACCUCCCCCGAUCUCAGGGAUAAUCAGUCGAAAGGCUGGAUAAUACCUGAUAGUCCCGCAAGGGUAAAGAUUUAUCGGAUCGGGAAGGGCCUGCGCAGUAUCAGCUUGUUGGUAGUGUAAAGGACUACCAAGGCAACGACGCUUAGGGGAGGUGAGAGCCUGACCCCCACCGAUGGAACUGAGACACGGUCCAU